CCUACGGGAGGCAGCAGUAGGGAAUAUUGCACAAUGGGGGAAACCCUGAAGCAGCAACGCCGCGUGGAGGAUGAAGGUUUUCGGAUUGUAAACUCCUUUUGUUAGAGAAGAUAAUGACGGUAUCUAACGAAUAAGCACCGGCUAACUACGUGCCAGCAGCCGCGGUAAUACGGAGGGUGCAAGCGUUACUCGGAUUCACUGGGCGUAAAGAGCGCGUAGGCGGGAUAGCAAGUCAGAUGUGAAAUCCUAUGGCUUAACCAUAGAACUGCAUUUGAAACUGUUAUUCUAGAGUAUGGGAGAGGUAGGUGGAAUUCUUGGUGUAGGGGUGAAAUGCGUAGAGAUCAAGAGGAAUACUCAUUGCGAAGGCGACCUGCUAGAACAUAACUGACGCUGAGGCGCGAAAGCGUGGGGAGCAAACAGGAUUAGAUACCCCUGUAGUC
rnacentral:rRNA from 1 species